GUAUUGCCAAAAAGUAAAAAAUGUAUAUUCUAGUCAUGAAAAUGUAAAUACAAGUUGGUGUAAUAAAAUGUAUGUUUAAUUCAAAGGAUUGUUUUUGUAUAAGUUGUUUAUGAAUUACAGAGGAUGGAACCUCUACACAAAUGAGUAUAAUAUACAGAAAGUCUUGAGUUAGUAUUUGGUAUUUGUGAAUUAUAAUUCACAACAGAAAAAGGGAGACAACUCUUGAUUAAGUUUUAAUAUGUUUAGAAAAUACGUCAACAACUCUGGAUCGUUGUUUUUCAUCUCAUUGUUAUUCGUUCAGUAUUGAAAUAGGGUCUUCAUAUAUGAGUAUUGCAAUUAAUC
rnacentral:lncRNA from 1 species